rnacentral:ncRNA from 1 species
CUUCCGUCUUCCCCGCACAGGAAGACGGACCGAGGAACCGGAGCUCUCUGCCCUGACUGCCCCGGCUCCUCACCCUUCGGCCGACACCGGGACCGCACACCCCGCGGCCGAUACUGCUCCGGGCUGCGGUGCCGGGAGGGUUGAGGGUCCCUCUCAGGCGC